UGGGGAAUAUUGGACAAUGGGGGCAACCCUGAUCCAGCAAUGCCGCGUGUGUGAAGAAGGUCUUCGGAUUGUAAAGCACUUUCGACGGGGACGAUGAUGACGGUACCCGUAGAAGAAGCCCCGGCUAACUUCAUGCCAGCAGCCGCGGUAAUACGAAGGGGGCUAGCGUUGCUCGGAAUGACUGGGCGUAAAGGGCGUGUAGGCGGUUUACACAGUCAGAUGUGAAAUCCCCGGGCUUAACCUGGGAGCUGCAUUUGAUACGUGUAGACUAGAGUGUGAGAGAGGGUUGUGGAAUUCCCAGUGUAGAGGUGAAAUUCGUAGAUAUUGGGAAGAACACCGG
rnacentral:rRNA from 1 species